rnacentral:rRNA from 1 species
GACGAACGCUGGCGGCGUGCUUAACACAUGCAAGUCGAACGGAAAGGCCCUGCUUUUGUGGGGUGCUCGAGUGGCGAACGGGUGAGUAACACGUGAGUAACCUGCCCUUGACUUUGGGAUAACUUCAGGAAACUGGGGCUAAUACCGGAUAGGAGCUCCUGCUGCAUGGUGGGGGUUGGAAAGUUUCGGCGGUUGGGGAUGGACUCGCGGCUUAUCAGCUUGUUGGUGGGGUAGUGGCUUACCAAGGCUUUGACGGGUAGCCGGCCUGAGAGGGUGACCGGCAACAUUGGGACUGAGAUACGGCCCAGACUCCUACGGGAGGCAGCAGUGGGGAAUAUUGCACAAUGGGCGGAAGCCUGAUGCAGCAACGCCGCGUGCGGGAUGAAGGCCUUCGGGUUGUAAACCGCUUUCGCCUGUGACGAAGAGUGAGUGACGGUAAUGGGUAAAGAAGCACCGGCUAACUACGUG